GGCCAUCAAAAAUCAGAUUAAAACCCAUCAAAAGCUAGGUAAAUCUCUGUUGCUCCUAGAUUGAUUUUGAUGACUACAAAAUAGUUGGAAGGGAUACAAAUAAUUUUUAUGUGAAAAAGACCUUAUGCUCUACAGGGGCAAAAUCAUAAUUUCAUCAAAACUCUGAUUUGAUAGCAUCAUCGUGUAGAACAAAUGAUAUGUAAUCUAUUGAUGAAAGUUUCAUAGUUUUUGGACUUAUAUUUUUGGAGUUAUGAAGGUUUGAAGUUCAUGAGUCGACUCAUGAGUCAACUCAUGAAACUAUGAGCUGAUUGGCACACAAAGAUUAGCCAUGGCACGCUGGUUUUCUGGCUUGGCACGACCUGUGAGUCAACUCAUGAGUCGACC
rnacentral:lncRNA from 1 species